rnacentral:rRNA from 1 species
UGGGGAAUAUUGGACAAUGGGCGCAAGCCUGAUCCAGCCAUGCCGCGUGUGUGAAGAAGGCCUUUUGGUUGUAAAGCACUUUAAGCGAGGAGGAGGCUACUUGGAUUAAUACUCUAGGAUAGUGGACGUUACUCGCAGAAUAAGCACCGGCUAACUCUGUGCCAGCAGCCGCGGUAAUACAGAGGGUGCGAGCGUUAAUCGGAUUUACUGGGCGUAAAGCGUGCGUAGGCGGCUUCUUAAGUCGGAUGUGAAAUCCCUGGGCUUAACUUAGGAAUUGCAUUCGAUACUGGGAAGCUAGAGUAUGGGAGAGGAUGGUAGAAUUCCAGGUGUAGCGGUGAAAUGCGUAGAGAUCUGGAGGAAUACCGAUGGCGAAGGCAGCCAUCUGGCCUAAUACUGACGCUGAGGUACGAAAGCAUGGGGAGCAAACAGG